rnacentral:rRNA from 1 species
GGUUAAGCGACUAAGCGUACACGGUGGAUGCCCUGGCAGUCAGAGGCGAUGAAGGACGUGCUAAUCUGCGAUAAGCGUCGGUAAGGUGAUAUGAACCGUUAUAACCGGCGAUUUCCGAAUGGGGAAACCCAGUGUGAUUCGUCACACUAUCAUUAACUGAAUCCAUAGGUUAAUGAGGCGAACCGGGGGAACUGAAACAUCUAAGUACCCCGAGGAAAAGAAAUCAACCGAGAUUCCCCCAGUAGCGGCGAGCGAACGGGGAGCAGCCCAGAGCCUGAAUCAGUGUGUGUGUUAGUGGAAGCGUCUGGAAAGGCGCGCGAUACAGGGUGACAGCCCCGUACACAAAAAUGCACAUGCUGUGAGCUCGAUGAGUAGGGCGGGACACGUGGUAUCCUGUCUGAAUAUGGGGGGACCAUCCUCCAAGGCUAAAUACUCCUGACUGACCGAUAGUGAACCAGUACCGUGAGGGAAAGGCGAAAAGAACCCCGGCGAGGGGAGUGAAAAAGAACCUGAAACCGUGUACGUACAAGCAGUGGGAGCACAGAGCAAUCUGUGUGACUGCGUACCUUUUGUAUAAUGGGUCAGCGACUUAUAUUCUGUAGCAAGGUUAACCGAAUAGGGGAGCCGAAGGGAAACCGAGUCUUAACUGGGCGUUAAGUUGCAGGGUAUAGACCCGAAACCCGGUGAUCUAGCCAUGGGCAGGUUGAAGGUUGGGUAACACUAACUGGAGGACCGAACCGACUAAUGUUGAAAAAUUAGCGGAUGACUUGUGGCUGGGGGUGAAAGGCCAAUCAAACCGGGAGAUAGCUGGUUCUCCCCGAAAGCUAUUUAGGUAGCGCCUCGUGAAUUCAUCUCCGGGGGUAGAGCACUGUUUCGGCAAGGGGGUCAUCCCGACUUACCAACCCGAUGCAAACUGCGAAUACCGGAGAAUGUUAUCACGGGAGACACACGGCGGGUGCUAACGUCCGUCGUGAAGAGGGAAACAACCCAGACCGCCAGCUAAGGUCCCAAAGUCAUGGUUAAGUGGGAAACGAUGUGGGAAGGCCCAGACAGCCAGGAUGUUGGCUUAGAAGCAGCCAUCAUUUAAAGAAAGCGUAAUAGCUCACUGGUCGAGUCGGCCUGCGCGGAAGAUGUAACGGGGCUAAACCAUGCACCGAAGCUGCGGCAGCGACGCUUAUGCGUUGUUGGGUAGGGGAGCGUUCUGUAAGCCUGCGAAGGUGUGCUGUGAGGCAUGCUGGAGGUAUCAGAAGUGCGAAUGCUGACAUAAGUAACGAUAAAGCGGGUGAAAAGCCCGCUCGCCGGAAGACCAAGGGUUCCUGUCCAACGUUAAUCGGGGCAGGGUGAGUCGACCCCUAAGGCGAGGCCGAAAGGCGUAGUCGAUGGGAAACAGGUUAAUAUUCCUGUACUUGGUGUUACUGCGAAGGGGGGACGGAGAAGGCUAUGUUGGCCGGGCGACGGUUGUCCCGGUUUAAGCGUGUAGGCUGGUUUUCCAGGCAAAUCCGGAAAAUCAAGGCUGAGGCGUGAUGACGAGGCACUACGGUGCUGAAGCAACAAAUGCCCUGCUUCCAGGAAAAGCCUCUAAGCAUCAGGUAACAUCAAAUCGUACCCCAAACCGACACAGGUGGUCAGGUAGAGAAUACCAAGGCGCUUGAGAGAACUCGGGUGAAGGAACUAGGCAAAAUGGUGCCGUAACUUCGGGAGAAGGCACGCUGAUAUGUAGGUGAAGUCCCUCGCGGAUGGAGCUGAAAUCAGUCGAAGAUACCAGCUGGCUGCAACUGUUUAUUAAAAACACAGCACUGUGCAAACACGAAAGUGGACGUAUACGGUGUGACGCCUGCCCGGUGCCGGAAGGUUAAUUGAUGGGGUUAGCGCAAGCGAAGCUCUUGAUCGAAGCCCCGGUAAACGGCGGCCGUAACUAUAACGGUCCUAAGGUAGCGAAAUUCCUUGUCGGGUAAGUUCCGACCUGCACGAAUGGCGUAAUGAUGGCCAGGCUGUCUCCACCCGAGACUCAGUGAAAUUGAACUCGCUGUGAAGAUGCAGUGUACCCGCGGCAAGACGGAAAGACCCCGUGAACCUUUACUAUAGCUUGACACUGAACAUUGAGCCUUGAUGUGUAGGAUAGGUGGGAGGCUUUGAAGUGUGGACGCCAGUCUGCAUGGAGCCGACCUUGAAAUACCACCCUUUAAUGUUUGAUGUUCUAACGUGGACCCGUGAUCCGGGUUGCGGACAGUGUCUGGUGGGUAGUUUGACUGGGGCGGUCUCCUCCUAAAGAGUAACGGAGGAGCACGAAGGUUGGCUAAUCCUGGUCGGACAUCAGGAGGUUAGUGCAAUGGCAUAAGCCAGCUUGACUGCGAGCGUGACGGCGCGAGCAGGUGCGAAAGCAGGUCAUAGUGAUCCGGUGGUUCUGAAUGGAAGGGCCAUCGCUCAACGGAUAAAAGGUACUCCGGGGAUAACAGGCUGAUACCGCCCAAGAGUUCAUAUCGACGGCGGUGUUUGGCACCUCGAUGUCGGCUCAUCACAUCCUGGGGCUGAAGUAGGUCCCAAGGGUAUGGCUGUUCGCCAUUUAAAGUGGUACGCGAGCUGGGUUUAGAACGUCGUGAGACAGUUCGGUCCCUAUCUGCCGUGGGCGCUGGAGAACUGAGGGGGGCUGCUCCUAGUACGAGAGGACCGGAGUGGACGCAUCACUGGUGUUCGGGUUGUCAUGCCAAUGGCACUGCCCGGUAGCUAAAUGCGGAAGAGAUAAGUGCUGAAAGCAUCUAAGCACGAAACUUGCCCCGAGAUGAGUUCUCCCUGACUCCUUGAGAGUCCUGAAGGAACGUUGAAGACGACGACGUUGAUAGGCCGGGUGUGUAAGCGCAGCGAUGCGUUGAGCUAACCGGUACUAAUGAACCGUGAGGCUUAACCUU